rnacentral:rRNA from 1 species
UACGUAGGGUGCAAGCGUUGUCCGGAAUUAUUGGGCGUAAAGAGCUCGUAGGCGGUUCGUCGCGUCGGCUGUGAAAUCCCGAGGCUCAACCUCGGGUCUGCAGUCGAUACGGGCGGACUGGAGUUCGGCAGGGGAGACUGGAAUUCCUGGUGUAGCGGUGAAAUGCGCAGAUAUCAGGAGGAACACCGGUGGCGAAGGCGGAUCUCUGGGCCGAUACUGACGCUGAGGAGCGAAAGCGUGGGGAGCGAACAGG